rfam:Aedes albopictus isolate Foshan contig246422, whole genome shotgun sequence.
UGUUCUGUAGCUUAGUUGGUUAAAGCGCCGAACUAGCGAUAACGGAGUCGUGGGUUCGAAUCCCACCAAAACAA